AGGUGACGAGAUGGAUAGAGACUGUAUUCAAGUCAUAGAUAAUGCACUGCAAGAGUCAGAUAAUGUGGAGAGUUCAAAUGAGGACCUGGAUUAGAUUGCUGUUUGUGUUUAAGCUGAGGGGAUGUUGGUAGAAGAAGGACUUUUGGUGUUCUUAGUUUUAAUGUCUUUGAGUUUUAUUAAUAUCUUGAGUUUCAGUAAGAUUUAUGAAAUUAUUGGUUGGGUUGUUAUGACUACCGAGAGAUUACGGACUCCUUAGUUUAUUUUAGCUGCAGUAAUGACUUUGUG